rnacentral:precursor_RNA from 14 species
CACGCGACGACAUUGGCGCGGGCCCCUGCGGUGCAUUGCAGUUGCAUUGCACGUCCACCGUACCGAGUGGUGCAGUGCUUCUGCAGUGCAGGCGCAGUGGCCGCACCCCGCAACGCACUCGGA